rnacentral:ncRNA from 2 species
UCGAUAUUGCACGGGUGUCCGGUGAAAGUCCGGGCUGAGAGGUGGCACAGCCACAACCGUUGAACCUGAUCCGGGUAAUGCCGGCGAUAGGGAGGAAACAUGACUGAUAC